GCCAGACUCCUACGGGAGGCAGCAGUGGGGGAUAUUGCACAAUGGGGGGAACCCUGAUGCAGCGACGCCGCGUGGGUGAAGGAGCGUUUCGGCGCGUAAAGCCCUAUCGGCAGGGAAGAAGGAGGACGGUACCUGACUAAGAAGCCCCGGCUAACUACGUGCCAGCAGCCGCGGUAAUACGUAGGGGGCAAGCGUUAUCCGGAUUUACUGGGUGUAAAGGGGGCGCAGACGGCAGCGCAAGCCAGGAGUGAAAGCCCGGGGCCCAACCCCGGGACUGCUCUUGGAACUGCGCGGCUGGAGUGCAGGAGGGGCAGGCGGAAUUCCUGGUGUAGCGGUGAAAUGCGUAGAUAUCAGGAGGAACACCGGUGGCGAAGGCGGCCUGCUGGACUGCGACUGACGUUGAGGCCCGAAAGCGUGGGGAGCAAACAGGAUUAGAUACCCGCGUAUUG
rnacentral:rRNA from 1 species